rnacentral:rRNA from 1 species
GAUGAACGCUAGCUACAGGCUUAACACAUGCAAGUCGAGGGAGUGCUUGCACUUCUGUCGGCGACCGGCGCACGGGUGAGUAACACGUAUGCAACCUGCCCUUGUCAGGGGGGAUAAGCGAGGGAAACCUCGUCUAAUACCGCAUAUAUGAUUUAGAGGCAUCUUUAAUCAGGAAAGAAUUAUCGGACAAGGAUGGGCAUGCGGGACAUUAGGUAGUUGGGGGUGUAACGGACCACCAAGCCGACGAUGUCUAGGGGUUCUGAGAGGAAGGUCCCCCACACUGGAACUGAGACACGGUCCAGACUCCUACGGGAGGCAGCAGUGAGGAAUAUUGGUCAAUGGAGGAAACUCUGAACCAGCCAUCUCGCGUGAAGGACUACGGCCCUACGGGUCUUUAAACUUCUUUUAUAGGGGGAUAAAGUCACAUACGUGUAUGUGAUUGCAGGUACCCUAUGAAUAAGCAUCGGCUAACUCCGUG